rnacentral:rRNA from 1 species
UACGUAGGGUGCGAGCGUUAAUCGGAAUUACUGGGCGUAAAGCGUGCGCAGGCGGUUCGUUGUGUCGGCGGUGAAAGCCCCGGGCUUAACCUGGGAAUGGCCGUUGAAACUGGCGAACUGGAGUGUGGCAGAGGGGGGGUAGAAUUCCACGUGUAGCAGUGAAAUGCGUAGAGAUGUGGAGGAACACCGAUGGCGAAGGCAGCCCCCUGGGUCAAGAUUGACGCUCAUGCACGAAAGCGUGGGGAGCAAACAGG